UACGAAGGGGGCUAGCGUUGCUCGGAAUCACUGGGCGUAAAGGGUGCGUAGGCGGGUCUUUAAGUCAGGGGUGAAAUCCUGGAGCUCAACUCCAGAACUGCCUUUGAUACUGAGGAUCUUGAGUUCGGGAGAGGUGAGUGGAACUGCGAGUGUAGAGGUGAAAUGCGUAGAUACUGGGAGGAACACCGGUGGCGAAGGCGGCUACCUGGACCGGUUCUGACGCUGAUGCGCGAAAGCGUGGGUAGCAAACAGG
rnacentral:rRNA from 1 species